rnacentral:rRNA from 1 species
AUUGAACGCUGGCGGCAGGCCUAACACAUGCAAGUCGAACGAGUGGCGGACGGGUGAGUAAUGUCUGGGAAACUGCCUGAUGGCGGGGGAUAACUACUGGAAACGGUAGCUAAUACCGCAUACCAUCAGAUGUACCCAGAUGGGAUUAGCUUGUUGGUGGGGUACCGGCUCACCAAGGCGACGAUCCCUAGCUGGUCUGAGAGGAUGAUCAGCCACACUGGCACUGAGACACGGCCCAGACUCAUACGGGAGGCAGCAGUGGGGAAUAUUGCACAAUGGGCUAAAGCCUGAUGCAGCCAUGCCGCGUGUAUGAAGAAGGCCUUCGGGUUGUAAAGUACUUUCAGAGGGGAGGCGUUACCCGCAGAAGAAGCACCGGCUAACUCCGUGCCAGCAGCCGCGGUAAUAC